rnacentral:rRNA from 1 species
GACGAACGCUGGCGGCGUGCUUAACACAUGCAAGUCGAACGGAAAGGCCCUGCUUUUGUGGGGUGCUCGAGUGGCGAACGGGUGAGUAACACGUGAGUAACCUGCCCUUGACUUUGGGACAACUUCAGGAAACUGGGGCUAAUACCGGAUAGGAGCUCCUGCUGCACGGUGGGGGUUGGAAAGUUUCGGCGGUUGGGGAUGGACUCGCGGCUUAUCAGCUUGUUGGUGGGGUAGUGGCUUACCAAGGCUUUGACGGGUAGCCGGCCUGAGAGGGUGACCGGCAACAUUGGGCCUGCGAUACGGCCCAGACUCCUACGGGAGGCAGCAGUGGGGAAUAUUGCACAAUGGGAGGAAGCCUGAUGCAGCAACGCCGCGUGCGGGAUGACGGCCUUCGGGUUGUAAAACGCUUUCGCCUGUGACGAAGCGUGAGUGACGGUAAUGGGUAAAGAAGCACCGGCUAACUACGUG